CCUAUUCUAGAAAGGCUCAUGAAGUGAAGGCCCAGCUCUGUUCCAUCCUGCAGACCUUCCUCAGGAUGGCGGGAGGCUGUGAAGAACUCACAUGCUGCGUGUCAGACUGAGCUAUCCCUAUUUCAUACUAUAAGCCAAGACUCGCUACACUGUCCUGCUGAUGUUCACAGUCAUGCCUGGGAAGGAGGCAGCCCCAUUUCCAGCACAUUUCAGUGGGAGACCUUCACAUGUGCCCCCUGGAGACUCGGUGGGGCAGGGGAAGAAACUGUUAGGAGCGCACGGCGCCAAAGUCGCGUCUCCAUGUGUGAAUCAAUGUCACCUCGCUUUCCUCUCAGAGACCUCACUGUCCCACAGCGGGACCUGCCUGAAAAUUGAGGGGACGAGGGAGCCCCUCAGCCUCCUCCUUCUCCAGCACUCCGCUCCCAGGCACCGCGGCUCCUCCAGCAGCACAACUGCUGGGAGCUCAGAGCUGCUGCUGCCCUGCAUGUGUCCGCUCAGCCCUGUUGUCGGCGCCAUGAUGGUCUGCAGGAGGGACAUGGCAGCUUUCUGAAUGGAUUUUUCUCAAGGAAAGUGCCAGUGUGUGCAGUUCAUGAUAUUCCCCUAUCCUUGCCGUUACUGUCACUUGGCUUUUUCUCAAUAGGCUUCAUCUUUAUUUUUUUCUAAUGGGGAAGUUUUGCUCUCACCCCUGCAUCCUAUAUUUGGCUCCCCCUCCUCUACCCCUCCUAGAUACAGAAUUAUGAGAUUCUGACAAAAAAUAAGAAAAUCUUCUUCAGUAA